UACGGAGGUUCCAAGCGUUGUUUGGAAUUACUGGGCGUAAAGGGAGCGCAGGCGGACAAGUCAGUCUAAAGUGAAAUUCCGGGGCUCAACCUCGGACUUGCUUCGGAUACUACUUGUCUUGAGUUCGUGAUAGGAAGACGGAAUUCAGUGUGUAGCGGUGAAAUGCACAGAUAUCCUGAGGAACACCGGUGGCGAAAGCGGUCUUCUGGCGCGGAAACUGACGCUGAGGCUCGAAAGCGUGGGUAGCAAACGGGAUUAGAUACCCGCGUAGUCCCU
rnacentral:rRNA from 1 species